GGAGUGAUUUGCCAUUUCCUUCUCUAGCUCAUUUUACAGGAACCCACUAAGCCACCUAAAUUACAGAGGAAUUUUGAUCUUCAUAGGUAGGAGGAAUACUGACAUUGCUGAAAUCACAGAUCCCUGAAAUUUUGAAAUCUGGAGCAAGGAUCCCAGCACAUUGAGUAAACUCUGAAGAGGCCAUGGACAAGAGUAUCGGGGGAUAUGGUGUGGAUGAAUUGUCAUCUUCCUAGUUGACAGAAAGACUGACAACAAAGUCUUCAUGCUCAAGUUAACUGUUAAUAAAGUUAAUCGUAGGGGACCAUAUGAAACUAUCCAAUCAUGUUCUUUCAGUUAUUGCUUAGAAAUAUCCUUUGCAUUCUCAUUUCUAAUACUCUGGUUCAAGCUAUUAUCUCAUACCUAGACUACCACUGUACUUAUGUCUUCAUUUAUCUCUUUGCACUGAACUUUUCUUCUUCCACUCAUACUGCAUCAUUCCACCAGAUAAAGGUCUACUUUCAUCAUUGGUGUAAUCUUUACUUACAUCAUUCCUCUGAAUAUCAAUAGGAUAAAGUCCAAAUUCCCUAGCCUGGGAUUCAGGGCCCUCCAACGGUACCAACCUACCUUUCCACUCUUUUGUACUCUUCUUCCUAAAGCAUUCCAUUUGAGCCAAACUAAUUGAACCCUACAAGGAGCCAAUGUGCUUUUUUCCUUUCAUACCUCUGGGUAACUGUGUAUUUCCCUCCCUCUUCAUGUAGUCAAUUCCGAUCUAUCCCUCAAGGCUCAUGUGAAAUGUCUCUUCCUCCAUGAAGGUAUCUCCUAAACCACUCUAGUCAUUCUCUCUCUCUCUCUUUCUCUCUUUCUCUUUCUCUUUCUCUGUUUCUCUCUCUCUCUCUCUCACAUACACACACACACAGUUCAUAGCAUUCAUUUGAAUGUCAAUUUGUAAGAGAUUUAAGGGUGUCCUUGGAAGACUAGUACCUCUGGUGUGAGGGCUUCCAAACCAUUUUCAGUUCUGCUUUCCACCUUUGGUGUCUACCUGUC